rnacentral:rRNA from 1 species
UAGGGAAUCUUCGGCAAUGGACGAAAGUCUGACCGAGCAACGCCGCGUGAGUGAAGAAGGUUUUCGGACCGUAAAACUCUGUUGUUAGAGAAGAACAAGGACGUUAGUAACUGAACGUCCCCUGACGGUAUCUAACCAGAAAGCCACGGCUAACUACGUGCCAGCAGCCGCGGUAAUACGUUGGUGGCAAGCGUUGUUCGGAACUAUUGGGCGUAAAGCGAGCGCAGGCGGUUGCUUAAGUCUGAUGUGAAAGCCCCCGGCUCAACCGGGGAGAGUCAUUGGAAAAUGGGAGACUUGAGUGCAGAAGGGGAGUGUGGAAUUCCAUGUGUAGCGGUGAAAUGCGUAGAUAUAUGGAAGAACACCAGUGGCGAAGGCGGCACGCUGGUCUGUAACUGACGCUGAGGCACGAAAGCGUGGGGAGCAAACAGG